UACAGAGGGUGCAAGCGUUAAUCGGAAUUACUGGGCGUAAAGCGCGCGUAGGUGGUUUGUUAAGUUGGAUGUGAAAUCCCCGGGCCCAACCUGGGAACUGCAUCCAAAACUGGCAAGCUAGAGUAUGGUAGAGGGUGGUGGAAUUUCCUGUGUAGCGGUGAAAUGCGUAGAUAUAGGAAGGAACACCAGUGGCGAAGGCGACCACCUGGACUGAUACUGACACUGAGGUGCGAAAGCGUGGGGAGCAAACAGG
rnacentral:rRNA from 1 species